AUGGUGUUACCUGGCUUCUGGUGGCUGCUGUCUGUCUGUCUUCUGUCCUGGUGUUGUGAUGCUAGGCCUCCGAGGAAUCAGGAUCCACAGUCAGAAUCACAGCCACAAGUUGUGAACUUGUACGAGAAAGGAGAAACAUUAAGUAUGGUUGACAUUGGAAGGAUGUUCCAAAUGAAGAAACCUGGAAUUUAUGUCUUGCCCCUACAGAAUGAGGAGGUCUGCAUGGAGGAUGUCGAUAACAAAGUCUUGUCUGUCAUUCCCCAUGCAAGUAAGCAUCUCCCUAAGUAUCUUGAGUUUUUACGUGGAUACUGUUUUGCUCUAUUCCCUAAAAAAGCCAAGUUAGU
rnacentral:lncRNA from 1 species